UCGGGAAUCUUGCACAAUGGGCGAAAGCCUGAUGCAGCAACGCCGUGUGAGCGAGGAAGGUCUUCGGAUCGUAAAGCUCUGUUGUUGGGGACGAAGGGCGAAGGGUUAAUAGCCCCUAGCCUGACGGUACCCUUCGAGGAAGCCCCGGCUAACUACGUGCCAGCAGCCGCGGUAAUACGUAGGCUUCCAUG
rnacentral:rRNA from 1 species